AACGGCCGCGGUAUCCUAACCGUGCAAAGGUAGCAUAAUCACUUGCCUAUUAAUUGUAGGCUAGAAUGAAUGGGUUAACGAAAUAAAGACUGUCUCAAUUAAUCACCUAAAAAUUACUAUCUAUCUGAAGAGGAAUAGAUAAUCUCGAAGGACAAGAAGACCCUAUAGAGCUUAAUUUUAAUUAUAGAGCUACACUAUAAAAAUAUUCGGUUGGGGCGACCCAGGGCUAAUCAAUCACCCACUACAUAAAAGAUAAAUUAAUCAAGUAAUUGACCCCUAAAAGAUCAUAAGAACAAGCUACCUUAGGGAUAACAGGCUAAUCCCACUCAAGAGUCCUUAUCAACAGUGGGGUUUGGCACCUCGAUGUUGGCUUAGG
rnacentral:rRNA from 1 species